UUGGAGAGUAGCGCGGAUGCACGCCCGGUUUCGAUCACCGGCGCGGGUUGCGCGGGAUCAUUCCUGCACUUCGGU
rnacentral:tRNA from 1 species